GUAACGAGCAGUCAUUCAAAAUCAGUACGACAAUAGAAACUGUAGCACUCAAUAGCCUUUUUUUUUUCAGAAUUGCAUAGAUUUGAGGAGCGUAAGAGUUAAUUUCACUUUUGGUUCUAUGACUAUUGUAGUCUUGUUAAUUUCAAUUCACGACUUUCAAAACUGUCAAUUUACUACCUUAACUAUUCAAUUUUGGUCAAUCCAGCCAAAUUGCCAGUCAAAGCUCACCGGAAAAUAAUAACAAGUAAAAUAAUGAGGGUAUUUUAAAGAAGAAAUAAAAGGGGAGUAAAAAGACUAAAAUACCCUCUUUAUUUUACCUAUUAAUAUUUUCCGGUGAGUUUUGGCCGGAGUGACCAAAAUUGAUAAAAAUUGAGUAGU